rnacentral:lncRNA from 1 species
AAAAAGGAAUUAUACUGCCCGCCCGAUCUAUCCCUAUUCAAUGUAAUUCAAGAUCCAAUCAGUAGAGGCACACUACAGUAGUAGUGGAGUGAAAGGACUAUCAUUUCAAGAUUGAUCUAUUCCUUUUCCCUAGUCUAAUGAAUUUUUGAUUGAAUCCGAGACGAAAAAAUAGAUAGCAUUUGAGAGAACAAACCUCCCGAUGCUUAGAAUUUUGAAUCAAACAAAUCUCAAGAGCGCUUUCCCUAAACUUGCUUCUGCUAGAAAAAAAAUAAAAAAAUUUCUGUAUCAACAAAACGGAAUAAACUAUUUUCAUUCUCUUGUCGAUCAGGCGACAUGGGUUAUCCUUUACAGCACACAAAAAGGCUCCUAGCACAACAAUAACGAGCCAAAAACAAGCCAGCAAAACAGGAAAAAACACAUAAGCUUCUAGCAGCAGCAAAACAGAACAAAAGGGGUGGAUAGACGAAGCAACAACAGCAGAACAAGUAAUUGAUAAACAGAACUUGAUCUCUUCAUUGAUAAAAAUUGAACAUUACAUAGACCCACUUUUACUUAACCAUCCACUACAAUUUCUUCACUA